UCCCAUAUAGUCUAGGCGGCUAGGAUAGCUGGCUCUCAACCCAGCAGAUCCGGGUUCGAGUCCCCGGUGUGGGAA
rfam:Phytophthora infestans T30-4 supercont1.68 genomic scaffold, whole genome shotgun sequence.